GUAGGAUCUACCUAGUAGUACGGAAUAGCCAUUAGAAAUGGUGGGUAAUACUGUAUAAUCCCCGAGGGAGAAAGAUUUAUCGCUAUUAGAUGAGCCUACGUUAGAUUAGCUAGUUGGCGAGGUAAUGGCUUACCAAGGCUAUGAUCUAUAGCUGGUCUGAGAGGACGAUCAGCCACACUGGAACUGAGAUACGGUCCAGACUCCUACGGGAGGCAGCAGUGGGGAAUAUUGGACAAUGGGCGAAAGCCUGAUCCAGCUAUGCCGCGUGAGUGAAGAAGGCCUUCGGGUUGUAAAACUCUUUCAAUAGGGAAGAUAAUGACGGUACCUAUAA
rnacentral:rRNA from 1 species